AUACGGAGGAUGCGAGCGUUAUCCGGAUUUAUUGGGUUUAAAGGGAGCGUAGGUGGGAUAUUAAGUCAGCUGUGAAAGUUUGAGGCUCAACCUUAAAAUUGCAGUUGAUACUGGUUUCCUUGAGUACGGUACAGGUGGGCGGAAUUCGUGGUGUAGCGGUGAAAUGCUUAGAUAUCACGAAGAACUCCGAUCGCGAAGGCAGCUCACCGGGCCGGAACUGACACUGAUGCUCGAAAGUGCGGGUAUCAAACAGGAUUAGAUACCCUGGUAGUCCGCACAGUAAACGAUGAAUACUCGCUGUUUGCGAUACACGGUAAGCGGCCAAGCGAAAGCGUUAAGUAUUCCACCUGGGGAGUACGCCGGCAACGGUGAAACUCAAAGGAAUUGGCGGGG
rnacentral:rRNA from 1 species